rnacentral:sRNA from 1 species
CACUUGGAUUUGCAUUUCCAGACAUUACCCAGGAGUGGGGUGUGUGGGCUUCUUGCUGCUUUCUCUGAGGAUGUCACUGGGUAAAUUCAGAAGAUCCAGAGAAAACAAUUGGGGGCAGCAGCAGCACAUGGGGUAGCAGGAGACCUCAGGUGACACAAUUAAGCUUAGGCUCCGAGGAUCUCCCAGACCAACAAGGCAAGCCAGUGUGGGGUGGGCUCCAAGAGAGAGUAUGCAUUUAGGAAUGUGAGAACAUCGCUUUGACUCCUGCCCCUGUUGACAAGAUGUAAAAUUUAUCAGGCAAGCUCUUGAGUUCAGGCUGUAAAAGACUUUGCACCAGUUGAAAUGACCCUACGUGCGCCAUACCUGGCACAGUGGAAAAACUCACGUCCAUGCCCAGGGUCGCAGCGCCCCCCCCCACCCCCGCCCAAGACGCCCGUGAGACUUUCUUCCAUGUUCUGUGAAUUAACCAAUGGCCCACAAAACUGGUAACAAUUAGUUUUCUGAGUUAGAUUGCCAGAAAUGUGUGAGAGGAAGCAGGAAGAAGGCAGGCAGAAGAAUCCAUUCCUAAGGGGUCUGUAGAGAUCCUCCGCUCACACCUUCCGGAGCACCCCACUCAGUGCAGAAACUGUAUCUAAAUAGAGAGAGCGUUUCCACACGAAGGGGCGGGGCUGCCUUCCUGGGAAGAAAUUGAACCUCUCCGGUUUUGCCUGUCUAAAAGUAGCUGUUCCCUGGUUACCCACCGUGGGCUUUGUGAUUGGCUGGCUGUGAUGGUGGAGGUGGAGAGUAAGCUGCUGAUGGAGUUGCAGCAUCCCUUAGCCUCGGGUCCCUGGGAGGGGGAGGGAACAGGAAGCGGGAGGGAGUAGGAGCCAUUUCUCCGCGCUGACCGAUCUCCACACUUGCAGUUCCCACUUCCCGGGAAUCUAGGGGGCUCCUCUGCUUAGUACUGAGCCAUGCUGGAUAUCUUCAUCCUCAUGUUCUUUGCCAUCAUAGGCCUGGUGGUUCUGUCCUACAUAAUUUACCUGCUCUAGUGGCCUGGAGCCGCAGGGGCUGCGAGGGGAAGGAUGGAGCUGAAAGGCCGAGCACCCUGCUUGCGGACGCACCGGUGGAUUUUGGCUUCUGGUCAUUAUUCGGCUCCUGUGCGGGGUCCAGCAAGAGGCCCCUUACCAACGACAGCAAUCCUGAGGCCCAACUGACUUCUUCCAGUGUAUCCAGAUGUGGCUGACCCUUGGCAAGCCGGCAUUCUGUGAGGCAGGGGCACUCUUGGGGACAUCAGGAUGCGUGCGAUUGAGCUGUAGACAGGGUGUAUUGUGAAAUGGAAGGUUGGAACAGUGAAGCCAGAGUUGAGAGUGCCCAGGCAUUCACACGGGCAGCCUUUCCUUCCACCUAAAGGCAACUGCACACGAUCCUAAGAUGUUCUUCCCUUCCUGUUUUCCCUUGUAAACUCAAGGGCAAACUCUGAUCAGUAGUUUACAGUUUGUACAGGCUGAGGAUAUGUGGUUUCCCUUGAUCUUCAAACCACUCCACCCCCAAAAUCCUGUUAUUUGAAUUCUUUGAGAUUUAUCAUUUCUUCCCUGCUUUUCCCACUUAUUCCCAGCUCCUUAGUUGACUAGAGGCGCAUGGUUGUGAAGUCUUCAUUCUUUGUGCCCACCUAUAAAGCACUGGGACAAAAUGGCAGUAUUAAUUUAGGAGAAAAAAUUAUCCCCAAUGGAAGGGUCUGAAAACGUUUUAAGAGUUUUUAAACAUUCCUUUAUCCUAAAAAACAAAAACAAACAAACAAACAAAAAAAAAACCCAAAAAAA